rnacentral:lncRNA from 1 species
GUGUGCCUUUGAUGUUCAUGUUUAAUUUAUGGAGAAACUCUGACCUAAUUUUAUCUCUCAAGAUCAGCCCUUAAAAUCUCACAUGCCCACCUCUUCUGCAACAGUCCCUGUCCCUAGAGGACUUGAAUAGUUUUCAUUCUGGCCUCCUGUCUCAUGAGUGCAGUUUAUUUUGAUUGUCAUCUUCUCCUGGAUAUAAAGAAAUCCUGGUGAUUUUUAUUUUCCACCUCAAUUUUCAUGAUCACCAUUAUUCUACUUAAACAAAGGCUUCAAAAUGGUGAGAAGAUAAUGAGAAAAGGAAAGAAUCUAUGGAUAAGAAAUAAAUAGGAAACCCUGCCAUGUUGAAAGGAAUACAACCCAACAUGGAGUAGAAACAAGAAAUCAAGAUAUACACUCUAGGACAAGGAGCAAUAAGAAUUUGACUUAAAAUGGUUAUUUAGCAUGUAUUAGAGUUGCAACUGGAUUUUAUGUAGUUAUGAGGGAACCCUGAAAAAAGUACCAUUGAACAGAAAUGAGAUUUGGUUUCAGAACUUCAGCCCAAAUGCUAUUAAAUCUUUUGCAUUUCUUGAACUAUACCCCUUGUGUCUUUGUCAUAAUUUUCCAGAGGUCUUCUCAGUCAAUAUGGGUUCAGUUUACAUAAUCCUGUCAACUGAAUAAAGUAAAUAUGUAUUAGGCUUCUGAGUAAAGUGUAAUCAUAAGCAUUGCAUUGAUAUAAGAUAUAUAAACUCAAGGAUAUAAAGAAACAAUUUUUUUGUUCGUUUUGUUUUGGUUUUGUUUUAAGUCAAAGGAAAGGUGUGGUUCAGGAGUGAUAAAUUGCAGCCUGGUGAUCAAGAAGAUUUAAAAUUUAUCUCAACUUUACUAAAGUCUUCCUGACUAUAGGCCCCUGACCAAUCUUUUCUUGGAGCACUUACUUCAGAAAAAUUGCAAAUGUUAAUUUUUUAUUUGCUGAUGAUGUAAUAUCUGUCUCAAGUAUCUGGGAAUCAUCAAUUUGAAAAGUAAUAGGAAAGAAAGAACCCUUGUCUCCUAGUUUCAGUGAAAUGAUAGGAGUUGUAGAUAAAUACCAACUAGCAACACAAAUGGCCUAAUAACAUUGCACAACCUAUUUGAUAACAUCAUUGUCUUCCAGUACUUUUCCAGUAGCUUCCCCUGGUGCUUAAGAAUUUACCCAACUUCUGUUUGAGUGGAGUGGAGUCAUUCUUUCUCCUUCACAAUAGUGUUGAAUAAA